rnacentral:rRNA from 1 species
GACGAACGCUGGCGGCGUGCUUAACACAUGCAAGUCGAACGGAAAGGCCUCUUUCGGGGGGUACUCGAGUGGCGAACGGGUGAGUAACACGUGAGUAACCUGCCCUUGACUUUGGGAUAACUUCAGAGAACAGGGGCUAAUACCGGAUAGAAGAUCCUGCUGCAUGGUGGGGGUGGGAGAGUUUCGGCGGUUGGGGAUGGACCCGCGGCUUAUAAGCUUGUUGGUGGGGUAGUGGCUUACCAAGGCUUUGGCGGGUAGCCGGCCUGAGGGGGUGAACGGCCACCUUGGGGCCGGGAUACGGGCCCGACUCCCACCGGGGGCCACAGGGGGGAAUUUUUGCCAAUGGGUGGGAGGCUGAUGCAGGAACGCCGUGGGCGGGAUGGCGGGCUUCGGGGUGUAAACCGGUUUCGCUCUGUGCGAAGGUGUGUGUGACGGUAAUGGGUAAAGAAGCACCGGCUAACUACGUG